UACGUAGGUGGCAAGCGUUGUCCGGAUUUACUGGGCGUAAAGAGCGCGCAGGCGGUCGUUCAAGUCGCGUGUGAAAGCCCCCGGCUCAACUGGGGAGGGUCACGCGAUACUGAUCGACUCGAAGGCAGGAGAGGGUAGUGGAAUUCCCGGUGUAGUGGUGAAAUGCGUAGAGAUCGGCAGGAACACCCAGGGGGGAAACCAGCGGACUGGCUCGUUGCUGACACUGAGGUGCGACAGCGUGGGGAGCGAACGGG
rnacentral:rRNA from 1 species